rnacentral:rRNA from 1 species
UACAGAGGGGGCAAGCGUUAUUCGGAAUUAUUGGGCGUAAAGGGCGCGUAGGCGGCUUUGCAAGUGACGGGUGAAAGCCCUCGGCUUAACCGAGGAACUGCCUGUCAGACUGUGAGGCUUGAGACCGGGAGAGGUGAGUGGAAUUCCCAGUGUAGCGGUGAAAUGCGUAGAUAUUGGGAGGAACACCAGUGGCGAAGGCGGCUCACUGGACCGGAACUGACGCUGAGGCGCGAAAGCCAGGGGAGCGAACGGG